rnacentral:rRNA from 1 species
GAUGAACGCUGGCGGCGUGCCUAAUACAUGCAAGUCGAGCGAACAGACGAGGCGCUUGCUCCUCUGACGUUAGCGGAGGACGGGUGAGUAACACGUGGAUCACCUACCUAUCUGACUGGGAUCACCACGGGAAACCGGAGCUUAUACCGGAUAAUAUACUGCACCGUAUGGUUCAAUAGUGAAAGACGGCUUUGCUGUCACUUAUAGCUGGAUCCGCGCCGCAUUAGCUAGUUGGUAAGGUCACGGCUUAUCACGGCAACGAUGCGUAUCCGACCUGAGAGGGUGGUCGGCCGCACGAGAGCGGAGACGCGGACCAGACUCCUGCGAGAGGCAGCAGUAGGGUAUCGGCCGCAGUAGGCGAAAGCCUUGCAGAGCGACGCGGCGUGUGAUGUGGAGGUCUUCGGAGCGUGAUACUCUGUUAUGAGGUAUAAACAAAUGUGUAAGGAACUAUGCACGUCUUGACGGUACCUGGUCAGAAAGCCACGGCUAACUACGUG